GCUGAGGUAGCCAAGUGGCCUACGGCGCUGGUCUUGAGGUUCCGUAAGGAACAGGCUAACCAGUGGUGCAUCGCACCGCGUGAGUUCGAAUCUCACCCUCAGCG
rnacentral:tRNA from 1 species